UCUCUCCACACCAUAACUCUUGUAGAGUGCCUGUGUGAUAGGUAGGCAUAUCCACUUUUUAAAUCUUUUUAGUCACCUUAUUUUCACUUUCUUCCAUCCUUCCAACAUACGAGAAGGAGAGUCAGUCAGAAGAAGGUUGGCCCCAAGCCAAGAGAGGGAGAGAAGCUAGGUUCUGUAAAAAAAAUUAUUUUAUUUUAUUUUUAUUUUUUAUUCUAACUACAAGCCUCGUUAAUAGCUUAGGAGUUAAAAAAUUUUAUAUCAAAUUUUUUAUUCAGCAAUGAAUUAGUUUUUUUCUUCUUUUAUUUAAUUUUUGUCAUUUUAAUUUCUACAAUAGAGUCAUUUAAAUUUUUAUAUUUUUUAAUUCUAUAAUUUUUAAAUUUUGUAAGUUAAAUUUUAACAAGUAAUAUAAGAUUUUAUUUUAUUUUAUUUUUUUGAACUUCAAAUCAAACUAUGUCUGGCUAAGUAAUCUUUCUGGAGUUUGCGAUGAAGCUAGACCAUGAAUACAAGCCUUCUCUUUUGAAUUUUUUUUUCUAACUUUUAAUUUUAAUUUUUAGAGUCCUCCUUUUAUCUUUCUUACCAAGAGACUUGAUGGGCUAUCAUUGGGUCAGAAUUCUUUCAUAGUCCAUGCUUGAUUCAGUGCAAAAGGGAAUGAUUGGUAGAAGGCUCAUAAAUCACUAAAUCUUUUCUUCUCCUUUCUUAUUGAAACUUUGAUGGAUUAUAGUUGGGUUUAAGCCCUUUAUAGCCCAUACUUGGAUAACACAAGAGACAAAGGAGAAAAAAAAUAUCUCUUAAUUAGGAUGAAAGCAAAAUACUUGAUGAAUUAUAAUUGAGUUAAAUCUCUUCAUGAUCCAUACUUGUUCAUAUUUUAUACCUUAAUCAAGAGACAUUAUAAGAAAAAUCAUAGAAAAGCUCUCUAAUUCAUUGAUCUAGUAGAUUUAAAAGUCUUAGAUCUUCUUUAGAUUAUUUAUCUUUAUAAUUAAUUAAUUUACCACUUUGAUAGUAAUCCAACAAACAAUCUCUCAUCUUUUUCUUUAAAACUCAUCUGAGCAAAUAUUUGAACAUACUUUAAAAUUUAAUUUUUCAUG
rnacentral:lncRNA from 1 species